UAGUGGGCUGCAAUUUAGUUCCCGAUAGUAUAACUUGGGCUGCAAUCGAGAGGGUAUCUUGGGCCACCUCCACGCCUGUCGAGCGAGACCUUCUUUCUCCCGCAUCUUCUCCCCACGCCGGUCGCCGGCGUGCUGCUACCUCGGCCGCCACGACCUCCCAAGAAAGUGGGCCUGCUCUCUCCUCCUCCCUUCUAGCCUCGUCGCGCCACCACGCAGCCACCGGCGCUCUUAUCAGUUCGAGGUCAGACCGUCAGAGGCGACCACCGGCGGCCAUCGCAGUCGCGCAUCGACAGCCGGGGGUCGCGGAUGGGCUCGUCUGCGUCAUCCCCACGUCGAAGACGAGUGGAGCGAAUACUGGAGGAAGCUUGGAUCGCGGAGGAGACGCCGGCCGGCUGCUACUUACUGAGUCGGUAGUGAAGUGAUUAUGCCAUCUUUUGGGGUUCAGACAGAAAUACUCUUUUCGAGGUACCAGUAUCCUGAUGUGAAAUCAUCAAUCAUCUUUGAAUUACGCUCUUACUGUCGCUCGUUCUUGCCCCCUUCCUACUUUGUAUUUUCACUGUCAAAUGCAACAUGAUUAUUGGGGGAACUAUUAGGUUAUCUUGUUGCCUUGUGGGUGUAAGAUGACCAGUUUAGAUAAUCAAAAUGGAUGACUGAUUUAGCUGUCGAAUGCACUCAUCACCAGUUUAGACAUUCAAAAUGGAUGACUACUUUAGUUGCCAAAUGCAUGGUUUUUAAGGUGGUAAAGUGAUCUAAGGCGCUCGGGGACCUUUUCACCUUUUAAGCACUUAAAGCGUAAGGCGAGGUGACACCUUAACAAUUCUAGUUGAUGUGGUAGAAUGAUAUGGCAGCUAUUUAGUAGAAAAUAAUACUACCUUGAAAUUGCUGGUUGUUGAGCCCACAUAGCAUCCUUUUACCACUUGCUCCUCUCCCCAACGCAUAUCUGCAUAAAAAUGAACAAGAGAAACAAUCCUCUUGUUAUACAUGUAAUUUGUUUACUUUUGGUGGGAACAAGAGAAAUGCUAACAGCCAGUUGAUUCAUGUAAGUUCUUGCAAUAUGGAGUAAAACAAAGCGCUGUUCCUGGUAGGUAAGACCUUGCAGGUGUUGGUUUCAGAUCAAGUCACUGAGCAAUGAUGUCUAUGAUUUUGUUUAUGCGUUAUGAAACUCAUUUCUUUGCUUGAACUACUUUGUACUUUUACUCUCAGGAGGGUACUUUUACUCUCAGGAAGGUUCACGGAUGAAGUGAACUAAAUCAUUUCUUUGGUGUUUUGCAAAAACAGUGAACAUUGAGUGUUUUUUCUUCCGGAGCAUAUGUUUUCUGCAUCUGUUCGUCCUUAGGAAAUAGUAGCAAGGGUACUUAAACUUAGGUUCCAGCUAUUGGUUUCUUACAUUAAAUUCAAACUUAUUAUUCUUAGCGGAAAAGUUGAUUGUUAUUUUGAGCUCAUUGGCAAGAUUCUGAAGCCAUUACUGAACAAGUGUGUGACACCUGUGACCUGUUACUGGAUCUUGGAGUUGCUUCUGUGUGAUGAAGAUGAACUCAAGCUAGUUUUCCAGACAUUCCAACCUCCUGUCAAAAUGUUGGUUCCUAUCUGGAAUGUGUAAGCCAUCCUUCUGCAGUCUCUAAACACAGCUGGUUCAGGAGCGUGACUUGUUUGGCACCCUAGUGUGAUUGAAACAUUCAAAAACACAGCUGCUGUUGAGCUUCAUGGCUAAAAUCAGCUGGAGGCAGGUCACGCCAAUGCAAGGGGCACUGGUAAUUUGAAUGAAAUGCCUCAAGAUUUUCUCAGCUGUGUGUACUGCCCUUCACAGCGACCGUCCAUAGUUCUCAAAUGAGAGGUUUUCUUCCAUGUUCUAAAUUGAGGGCUGUCGUUGUUCUACCGUUUGAAGAUGUCAGGCACUUUCAGCAGCCCGCCGAGGUGGCCGUGUGUCUCAAUGGAGUCCAGUAGGAGUUCAUCGCGGAAGACCCGAUACUGAUAGUGCACACUUCAAACUAACUAGCCAGCCACCGGCCCGGUGGCCUGGUGCCUGUGUGUGUUCGUUUGUUGUCAUAUUUUUUUCCAAACGAUCCAAGGAUCGGCUUUUUCAUUAUCAGGAGAUAACGAAAAACAAAACGAGUAUCCCUUGCCUACCAGGCAAGUUUACACACACACCAACCCAUAUAUACAAACGCCGUUUGAAGCUAACCAGAAACGAAACGAACUAACAGUUUUACAUCCAACAAACGACACAGCCCACCAGCUUAACAACUGGCAAAGGAUUACGACAAAUGCCAGUCAAGAUAGAGUAGCAACAAAGAACCCCAAGACACCACCGUUUUCUUCAAACUUCUCUGUCUUCCAUCAGGCAACAUCAGUAUGUUCAUCAACUUCCAUACUGUCCUCUUCUUCAUCAACGCACCCUGUAUCUCUGAUCAUCAGUUUGUUGUCAUAUUUGUUUUCGGUGUGAGUGGUGUGUAAGUACUCCGUGUGUGUGAUGAGCGACUCGGAUCUAUCUGAAAGUGGGUUUAGAUUGGAGAGGUUUUUCGAGUAUAACAGAAUAUCGUGCUUUAUUCUUAGAAGGCGAUGUGCUUGGUUUUGGGGUUGUUGUGUGACUGCCUGCUAGUGCACUAAGUGCAGUGUACUGAUAUCUGUCUACUGUGUUUGAUGCUUAAAUUGUUUCAGAUCCUCAGGACCUGUUUUGUUCUUGUUAGAAAUAGGAUUAGCUUAAGUCUUAAGCUAACUAGGCAGUUUUAUCGCAAAAAAAAAAAAAAAAGCUAACUAGGCAGUUACUUUUGUCCAACAUCCGUGUCUCUUCGAAGGGACACAACCUUGUAAACCGCCUUUAUUGGUGCCUGUUCGCUGGGUAUAUAUACCCCUCAAUCAUCAAUGAAAUCAAUAGUUCAUCUCUUAAUACUUUUACUCUAAACACGUUAUCAGCACUUUUCUCUUCCGAGAGCACCCAGGCCACAGAACCGUCGGACAGAAGAAAGGAAGAAUGAAGGACGGGCGGCGGCGAUGGACGCGGCCAUUGGCCCGCAUCCUCGCAGGGCGGCGGCGCCCGUGACCAACCGCUUGUCUUUCACCAGCGUGGUUCCCUGGCGCUGCUUCUCCGGGGUACGCCACAUCGGCAUAUGCUGUGGCGGAUGCAGGCGCCAUCGCCCGUGACGUCGACUCACGCCCAGCGCGUGGAUCGGCCGCCCCUCCUCCUGGCGACAGAGGCGCUCGCGGCAGCGCCCUCCGGCGUGCCGCCCAGACGCAAAGCCGCCUAAGGCGGUGGGACGGCGGCCUACGGCCGGCAUGCCCAGUAGCGCCCUCCGGCGCGGACACACAGCCGCUUAAGACGGUGCGACGGCGGCCUACGGCCGGCAUAGGCAGCAGCGCCGGAGUGGCGCUCAUCCCGACAGCAGCCCCUCCGGGCUCCGGCGAUGCUCGUGCCUCAGAACCCACGCCGUCGGUGUCCUAGUUAUCUAAAACAGAAACGAAUCCACCCAUUCGUAACACGCAGAAGAUAGAGAUUAUGAACCUUAUCUAUUUGGUUUUUUCUCAUCUUAGUCCUACGUAUUUUUGUAUUUACGCAUACAUUCCUGUAGCUUCUUGUUCAGCCGUGUCACGGCGUUUUGGCUAUUCAAACCUUGCCGUUAAUCUCUCCUUACUUGCUGAAUUUUAUAUCUAGGCCAUAAGUUCUCAAGACUUAUUGUUUCAGCACUUUAACCUACCAGUAUCAUUAUUUAGUAUAUUGUAAGCCGUUGGCUUUAGAGAAAAUAUACAUGCUGAAACUCUCAUGUCAUCCUAGAUUGCAUAAAGAAUAGUUAUGUACUGCCAUUUUACAACAUGUAAAAUCACCAUAUCAGGACUAUGGAUCUUCUCGUAAGUAUGCAUAGGAUAGUUACAUCCGAUGCAUCAUUCCUCUUGAAUUUCUGCCUUGUUAUAUGUGCUUCUUGCAAUUUUUUUGUAACAUGCAAUUUUGUAACAACAAAGCUUAAUUUGCGAUUGAAAUAUUAUCUUUCUUGCAAAAUUCUCAUUACAAAUAUGAGAUAAAAUUGUCAAAAAAAAAAAAUGUGACUACCGUAUAUUUUAUUUGCAAACGACAAGUUGAUGGCAUCUGCUACAUAAAUUGCAGAUUAUCUAUUACUACAAUAUGUACAUAUUUGUUAUUUUAACAAUAAACUUAAUUUCAAAGUGAUCUUUCGAAUGUAUCAAUGUCAAAUUUAACACAAAGUAUAUUAGGAUAAGGCAUCGAUUGAUAUAUGCCAGUCUAUGUUUCCUAAUACUGAGAGACGCACUCCAUGAAUACGGAGUUAUCUACUAUGUGUUAACUUAUAAUUUGAGAUCUACAUGCAUAUGGUAUAUAAGCAUCAGCUUAAUAUUCAAAUUAUUACUCUAGAGCAUAUUUGUUGUUUACCAAAAUAAAUUUUACUAUCAUAGUAAAAAUAAAAUUGAUGCAUUAUUAUUGCAUGCUUCUAUUACAUUGGUAAGAUGUGGAAUGUUAAAUCAUUGGACAGGGAUGCAAUGUCUAUCAAGACAAUCCAUGAUAAAUAUAAAUUUCUCACAAAACUACUAUAGCUUGUACAUUAUAUGGUGAUAAUUAUAUUCACCAUAAAUAACCAAUGUCAAAAUACAUAUCUAUGUUUUGGAAAUGAAUUUAACAUCUCCCAUCACUUUGGGUAAGAAGUUCAAAGCAUAGAUAGAUGUAUCAUUUAAUAUCUAAGUAUUGAAUGUCUACUCCAUGGUCAUUAAGGAAUUAACUCGACCAUUAAUAUGUUCAAUUAAAGCAUUUUCAUAAACUUAUUUACUAUCAUAGUAAAUGAGUUGCAUGAUUAUCUCAUGCGGGGCUAGAAUCUCCAUCAAAGGAAUCCACUAAACUCAAUUAGAUGAGAGAAAUUGGAUAAAUAUAUAUUCCUCUUUAAAUCUCCACCAACAAGAUAUUUGUUGUAUAAACACAAUGUCAAUAGGUUCUCAUUCACUUUUGAGGAUUUCUACUCCAUUGUAGUUAUUCAGUUCAGUUGUCUAUAAAAUCAGCUCCAAGUUUAUAUUUUGUGAUUAGGUAGUUUCAAAUAUAAGCCUGAUUCAAAUACCUCAAUGAACUCUACAUCCUACUUUGAUGGUAAUGUAAAAACAUUAUCGUCUUUAUUUCAGGCUAUAUGAUGUCUUCUUAUAUAGAAUCAUUAGAUACACCCUACGGGUGAUAUAUAGCACUACCUGAAACUGAACUAUUACUCAUAAUACUAAGAAUCUCAAUGAUAUUGAAAAGAACUACAAGAAAUGAAUGUAAACUGAAGGUAAAAUGACAAACAGAAACAUAGUGGAUCUAUCAAAGGGAUAAGAUAACUCUCAAGUUUAUCAAAGAUGUUAUUUUAUGAAUCAUUACACAUAUGAAAUCCCAAUUCCCAAGCUUUUUUUGGUAGGGUUAUUCCACAAUUUGAUCAUCUACGAGUUAAGCGGGGUAAUUUUGAAGCUCACUUCAAGAAACACCGUACUAUAAUCUUGUUAGGGAUUGUACUUAUAAUCUUCAUCAUGAAGAAAACAUAAGCCUAGUUCGAUUGGAGAUACACUCCUUUGCAAUAAUAGUUUUCUUGUGGAAUGAAAUUCCCAAGACAUUUUGGAGACCUUGUUUAGUCUCAUACAUAAGCCCAUAUUUAUGCUACCAUAUGUGGUAUGUUGUCCAUUAAUAUCAUGUUUCUCAUACAUGACAUUUCAAUGUAUGAACUAAAUUCAUACUAAACUUUGUUGUGUAGAAACUAAUAUUUUGGAUCUUCAUGAAUUUAAGAUUUGUCAUAAUCGCCUUGGUCACCCAUUAUAGGGGUAAUGUGGAAAAACAAAUUAGUGAAAAUUUCAUUGUUCACAACUUAAAAGUUGCAAAAUUCUCAAAUCAUCAAAUUUUAUAAGCACCUAAUGUGUCAUGAGAACUUUUUUUAUAAGUCUCUCACACUCCGCUCAAAUUUCUUGAACUUAUUCAAGAAGAUACAUGUGGACUAUUCACAACUAUCUGGGUCAUAUAAUUAUUUCAUGGUAUUCAUAGACACUUUAAUGGAUGGUCUUAUGUGGGUCUCUAAUCUCCACAAACCCAUGAUUUUACUAAAUUAAUUGCUCAAAUUAUCAAAUUAAGAGCAAAAUACCAAUAACAUAUUGGUUAAACCAAUACAAUUAUUAUUUUCACAAGCAUUUGUGAUUUUACUAAGUACUUCUGGUACAUACCCAGAAUGGUGUAUCUAAAUUCUUUAUCAAAAGAAUCAAACUAACUAAAUGACCACUUUGACAAAUUUUUAACAUGCCAACAUAUUGUUGGACACAUGCGGUCUUACACGCCGUAGAUCUGAUCCAGAUCACAACAACUGCUUAUCAUACUGCUUCCCCUAGCAGUAAGUACGUGGAAAUCAAACAAGUAUUUCCCAUCUGCGAUAAUACGGUUAUAUACCGUUAUCACCACCCCAACGUACAUCAUGGGCACUCACAUCAAUUUGGGAUCUAUGUGAUAAAUAACUAAGGUAUAAUCGUUUAUCCGUCAAAUACCUUAAGACCCUAACAAGGGAGUUAUUGAUAGCUCGUACGCUGAUUGCAUUUGCAAUAACGACAUUUUUCGGCAUUAGGGGGAGAUUAGUACCACAAAGAAUGCCGAUAAAUAAAUAAUAAAUGUCAUAGACUUUCAGUCCUUAUAUUCACGUACUUGAAAAUCUGAACGAUAAGUUCAGUCAUAAAUUUGCAACACAUUGCAAAUCUGCCACAUACAUUUACUCGUGACAAAUAUGUCACAAAAUCGUAUUAUGCAUGCAACAAUGUGCCAAAAGAGUGAAGGUACCUAAUAUAACCACUUUCCUCCGAAAUGAGAGCAAAAGGGGGAGAAAAUUGGCCACAUGAGAUAUAAAUUCUCACAUGCUUCCGCGGAACAGAGGAAAUUAUAUCCUCAACAAGUAAAUGUAGUUCAACCUCAAGUUGAAUAACACAUAGUGGAUGCUCAUCAUCCAAACCCAACAAAAAUGUGCACAUAAUUUUAAGUGUUGGGACAUCGAAACACCUUGACUCCAUUGUUAUGGGAAAUCAUGAGGAGUUCAAAUAUUUUAAUCACAUUUGCACAAAUCUUGUCAAUUCAACAGAAUCAUACAACAUAGACUACAUUUUGUCGACAAAUAUUUAUUCUUAAAUUGCUAAAACCUUUAGGGCCCUGAACCAAAGUCCAUGGCAGAGUGCCUAAUGCACUCAUAUAUUGGUUCAACUAGAAGGAUGCAAUUGAAUAAGAAUAGCACUCACUCAACAAGGGAGGUAUUUACCAUCGUAAUACCUAUUCCUCAUAAGCACCUUCCCUCUGGAAGAGAAAUGAAUUUUUGUUAACAAAAAAAAAAAAUGAGGUGGUGAUAAAGUAAGGCUUGUAGCGCAAGGGUUCACGCAGAGACCCGACAUCAAUUAUAUAUGAUGUAACAUACCCUAUUGGUAUAAGUGGAAUUAUGUUUCGAUACUAAUAUUAUUGGCAAUUAUAAAUAAACUAUCUAUUAGUUGAUGGAUGUAGUGAUUACAUAAUCAUAUGGGUCACUCAAUUUGGAUAUCUAUAUUGAAGUCCUUAAGGCUUAUAAAUCCAAAUCCAAAAUAAAUAGCAACAUAUGUGUAAUAAUACAAAAGUCACUCUAUGACUUAAAAUAGUCAAACACAAAUUGUGUGGUACAAUUGACUAUAAGAGCACCUUCUUAUAAAGGAUUACUCGUACAAUAAUGAUUGCUUAUAUGCAGUCAUAAAUAAAAUCCCUAAUUGGAUUCUACAUGACCUUUGUAUAUAUCGAUACUUUUAUCAUCAAAGUCUAUAAUAUACAUGAAAGAUCCUUACAAUCUUAUCAAGACGGAGAUUUGAAUUGAACCAAGUAUUAAUCAAGUUUAUAACUUGAGUAUAUUCCUUCGGAAUACAUAUCUAUCAGUCUUUACAUGUCCAUAAAAUUUUGGAGAAAUUAAAUAUGGAUAAAUAAAAUCAAAGAUACAUAUGGUCACAAUAUCCCUAACAUAGAUACAAAUUCAUUCAUACAUUGUAGUAGUGAUGAAGUGAUACUGGACCUCUUGUUCCAUAUCUCAAUACAAACUACAUCACGAAUGCGAAUGUUUUGUUGUCAACUUCUUUUAAGUGCAAACCCCAACUAAAAAGUUGGUGUAAGUAAUAUCCUCUGAUAUAUUUAAGGCACAAAUGUUCUUGAUUAAUUCUCUGAGGAAUAUCAAGAUUUGACCAUCAUGUAAUCUACGUUGGCUAUAAUUACCCGAUCCCGAAAAUGCCAUAUCAUAGACUGAAUUCAAUGAAAGAGCCUUCUAAAAUAAGUCUACAAAAUAGACUCUAAUGGCUUCAUAUAAUGAUUGACCACGUUCAAGAUAAUGUGGUUAAGAUUCAACAGAAUCACCUACCAUUAUCUAUCUAGAUAAUACCACUUGUAUUGCUUAAAUGCAUACGGGUUAUAUAUAGAGCAAUAUUGCAAAGAAAUUUUCUCAUCAAAUAAUAUUUUCCUAAGUAGGGAUAAAAAAUUUGUGAAUAUAUCUCAUGAAAAUCUAACAGAUUUCUUCACAGUGUCUUUAUCGACUUCACGUGGAGUUGGUAUUUGACAACUUUAAUAUUUGCACAUUCCAGGGGGAGUAAACUCCCAACUUAUAACCCAUUGAUGAUCAUCAGAUCAUAUAUAUUGUACUCUUUUUCCCUUAAUGAGUUUUUCCUAAUGGUUUCUCAUAAAAGGUUUUUAAUGAGACGAUAUAAAUACAAGUGUUUAGAUAUGCCACAUCGCUUUCUCCUUACAUUUUUCCCAUUGGGUUUUAAAGGAGUUUUCGGUGGCACAUCAUAUUGCACUUUUUGCAAUAUUUAUAUGUCGUACCUCCUAUUUUCCCCACUGGGGUUUUUAAAGGAAGUAUAUAAGGCAUAUUUAUUGUUCUCCAAACUCAUUCGUGAGGUUUUUCCCUUCUCUAAGGUUUUCUCAUAUGAGUUCUCAUGGAGACAACAAUCUUUACAUGUUGUACUAUUUUCUCCUUAUUUUUCCCAAAGGGUUUAAAGGAGUUUUAAAACAUAUCAAAUACAACUUGAUCUCCUCAUAUUUUUCCCACAGGGUUUUUGGGGGAGACAUUUUAAAGAUGAUGACUUUCAAGAUGAUGAAUAUUUACAAAGAGCACCAUUGUUUACAAGGACAUCCUCAUAUAUAAGUAAGAAGACUAUGCGAGAAGAUCUUGAAGAUUACACAUGAGAUUUUCAAGAAAUAGCGUUGUCCAAGGGGGAGUGUUAGAAAUAGGAUUAGCUUAAGUCUUAAGCUAACUAGGCAGUUACUUUUGUCCAACAGCCGUGUCUCUUCGAAGGGACACAACCUUGUAAACCGCCUUUAUUGGUGCCUGUUCGCUGGGUAUAUAUACCCCUCAAUCAUCAAUGAAAUCAAUAGUUCAUCUCUUAA